rnacentral:rRNA from 1 species
GUAAGAACACCCGCUGAACUUAAGCAUAUCAAUAAGCGGAGGA